rnacentral:rRNA from 1 species
UGGGGGAUAUUGCACAAUGGGCGAAAGCCUGAUGCAGCGACGCCGCGUGGGGGAUGAAGGCCUUCGGGUUGUAAACUUCUUUUGCUCUGAACAAGGCAUGCCUUUGGGGUGUGUUGAGUGUAGGGGUUGAUUAGCGCCGGCUAACUACGUGCCAGCAGCCGCGGUAAUACGUAGGGCGCGAGCGUUGUCCGGAAUUAUUGGGCGUAAAGGGCUUGUAGGUGGCUGGUUGCGUCUGUCGUGAAAGCUCAUGGCUUAACUGUGGGUUUGCGGUGGGUACGGGCUGGCUUGAGUGCAGUAGGGGAGGCUGGAAUUCCUGGUGUAGCGGUGGAAUGCGCAGAUAUCAGGAGGAAUACCGGUGGCGAAGGCGGGUCUCUGGGCUGUUACUGACGCUGAGGAGUGAAAGCGUGGGGAGCGAACAGG